GAUCAUGGCUCAGGAUGAACGCUAGCUACAGGCUUAACACAUGCAAGUCGAGGGGCAGCAUGGUCUUAGCUUGCUAAGGCCGAUGGCGACCGGCGCACGGGUGAGUAACACGUAUCCAACCUGCCGUCUACUCUUGGCAGCCUUCUGAAGGAAGNUUAAUACAAGAUGGCAUCAUGAGUUCACAUGUUCACAUGUAUUAAAGGUACUUCCGGGUAAGACGAUUGGGGAG
rnacentral:rRNA from 1 species